CAGGAAAUAGUUUAAUAAAAAUAGUAACUUUGGGAGUUACAGACUUAGCACUACUAAUUUUCUGA
rnacentral:tRNA from 1 species